UACGGAGGGGCUAGCGUUGUUCGGAAUUACUGGGCGUAAAGCGCGCGUAGGCGGACCUGCAAGUCGGGGGUGAAAGCCCGAGGCUCAACCUCGGAACUGCCUUCGAUACUGCGGGUCUCGAGUCCGGGAGAGGUGAGUGGAAUUCCUAGUGUAGAGGUGAAAUUCGUAGAUAUUAGGAAGAACACCAGUGGCGAAGGCGGCCUACUGGUCCAUCACUGACGCUGAGAUGCGAAAGCGUGGGGAGCAAACAGG
rnacentral:rRNA from 1 species